ensembl:lncRNA
UCACUACUGCGGUCCCUCUUGGUCUGUGUGCCUUACUGCUUUCUAGCCACAUGCGCCUCUUUGUGGUUUCCCUCAAUCCUUCUUUCUGCAGGUUUCAUCUUUACAGUGGGGAAUAGGAAAGCUGACUGGGUGGAUGAUAAGAGUCAAGCCUGGGAGUCAGUCAUGGGUUUAAAUUCUGAACCCAGCACUUAAUAGUUGUCACGGUGAUAUGACAUCAUCUCCUCGAGCCUUUGUUUUCAUUUCUGUAAAAGAGAGACAACAGUUGCCUCAGAGGAUGUUGUGUGUUUCAGAGAGACAUGUAUAGCCCCUAGGAUGGGGUUGGAAUAACAGUAAGUGCUCAAUAAACAGGGCUGUUAACAAGGUCUGGAUUCACGGUCCAGGGAGUGCCAGUGCCUUGGCACUGCUCCAGGGGCUCAAUUUCGCCUCUUGACUUUCCCUUUCCUUGUCAACUUCUUCCACUCACCACCCCUUCAACUCUGGUUCUGAUUCUUCUCUAUUUUAUGAGCUUUUUUCUUUUUAGGUUUUCCAUGUCAGGCUAUUUCCUAUGUUCUGUCCCAUUAACCGAAAUGGCUUCUUAAUUCUUUUAUCAUCUCCUUGGGCUCAGGAAUCACUCAGAUGGAUAGCACACAUAAGUGGAGACCGGCUCAAGGAAUUUUUAAAAAGGCAAACAUAGUACAGACCCUACAGGUCAUUGGCACUGAUUCCUUGCUGUCCAUGUGUCUUGGGGUAUGUGUGUUGUGCUUUCUCUAAACUGGGGGUUGCUGGACCAGCAGCCUUAGCAUCACCUGGAAACUUGUUAGCAAUGUAAUCUCUUGGUCUCUACCCCAGAAACUCUGAGGGUGGCCAGCUAUCUAGGGGAUUCUGAUCUAUAUUAAUAUUUGAGAAGCACUGUUAAAACCCUCUGGAGAGUCCCUUAUAAAUUGGGUCCUUGAUUGCAUGCCUUCAGGCUGCCCAGCCGCUCCCUUCUUGGGGCUCACCUUAGCCUGUGACCAAGUGUUAGUUAUUGGCAUUAGUUUGCAUAUUCUGAUUCGUAAACUUGUGCUGAGACCUUUGCUCUUCUAAGUCACAUGCUAUGCAGCUUUGUUCUAUAGAUCAGAUAGUUUCUCAGAACUUGCUUCUUUAAGAGUGGCUUAUUUUCUCUGAUUUGAAUUAAAUUCAGGUUAGUUUCUUCUUUAGAAAAUUAUGUAGCCUUUUAUUAUUUAGACUAUGCUAGAUAGCUUUCUUUUAUUCUAUAGCCCAGUUGUCCAUUGGUUUCUUAAGGAUCCCUUUUAUCUAGUGUAUAUGUGGUGCAUUAGUAUUUUAGCUGUUAUUUAUGACAAAUCUUGGAUGAAAUCUUGCUUGAGAACUCUUCAUAUUGUGAAGAGGUAAAUACAUGGGCUGAACAAUGUACAGGGAUGAUGUGGGCUGAAAGUUGAAAGAGAGUCACGAAGAAUUAGCCUCACCAGACUGUGAAACUCUAAAGGAGUGGGAUUGUACCUUAUUUGUUUUUGUGUUCUCACCAUCUCACACCAUGACUAUCAAAUAUUUAUUGAGCACCUACUAUAUACAGGAUUUGUGCUACAAUGAUGGAAAAGUUGAUGUGGUUCCUGUCUUCAUAAAAUGUAGUCUGUUGGUACUCAACAAAUAGAUCAUGAUUUAGUGGGACACGAUAUGUAUUAUUUUUAUGAUUUUUUGGUCUUUUUAGGACCGAAGCCAUGGCAUAUGGAGAUUCCCAGGCUAGGGGUCCAAUCGGAGCUGUAGUCACUGGCCUAUGCCAGAGCCACAGCAGCAAGGCGUGUGAGCUUCAUCUGUGACCUACACCACAGCUUAUGGCAAUGCCGAUCCUUAACCCACUGAUCGAGGCCAGGGCUCAAACCCAUGUCCUCUUGGAUGCUAGUAGGUUUCGUUAACUGCUGAGCCACAACGGGAACUCCAGCAACAUGUAUUAUUAAGGGAGACAGUGCAUGGGGUUACUUGGACUCAGGAAUUAAAGUUGGGGGAGAAUCACCUAGUGAAAGAGUUAAUACAACACUUUAAAAUAGUCUGUAGUAGAUGUGAAACCAAUCCUAGUUUGAGCCUCUCAAGUUAUCUCCAUGGGCAAAGAGAUGAAAAUAAGCUGUUUAAUUUAGCACGUUGUGGGAGCAGAAAUAAUGAUAAUGGUAAUAGUGACAGUCAUAGCCAACAUUUGUCAAGUGUUCCUGAUGUGCCAGGCAGAGUGCUAAGUGCUGGGCAACCCUGAUCCAACAGGGUCUUAUGAACAGUGGGCAGAGAGAAGCCUAUGCUGUCGUAGCUCAGCCACUGUCCUUCAGUGCGGCGACUCUAGCAAAUUGCUUUGCUUCCCUGGCCCUCAGGGUUCUUGUUAAUGAAAUGAGGGGAUUAGAUUAAAGGUUGUCUUUGACUUUGAAGAUACCAGUUUCUGGAGUUCCCGUUGUGGCUUAGUGGUUAAGAAUCCCACUAGUAUCCAUGAAGAUGCAGGUUUGAUCCCUGGCCCCGCUCAGUGGGUUGAGGAUCUGGCAUUGCCGCGAGAUGCAGCAUAGGUUGCAGAUGCAGCUCGAAUCCACUGUUGCUGUGGCUGAGGUGUGGACCAGCUGCUGCAGCUCCAGUUCAACCCCUAGCCUGGAAACUUCCGUAUGCCACAGGUGCAGCUGUAAAAAGAAAGAAAAAGAAAAAGAAAAAAAAGAGAAGAUACCAGUUUCUUUGCAUGUCUUGUUAACAGUUAGUUAACAGAGAAAUAUUUGAUCAGAGGUUCAGGUCUAAAGCUCACCUAUGUCCCUUGUGUGUAAUAUCCUCUAAUACCGUGUUUGAAGCAUGGGUAAUCUGUGAAGCUGUAGGCAUUUUUUUUGGCCAUGUACUUGGGCAUGGGGUAGUGUCUAUAGAAGGAGAUUUCCUUUAGCAGGGCCCUGAGUUAGGAAGAUAUAUGCAUGAAUAUCUCUAGAUUCUAACCUGUUCUUUUAGACUGAAUUUACCCUACAAACUACACUUUUGCUUCUUAUAAAUAACAAAGUAAUGCAUAUUUCAGUAAAAAAAGUAUGUCUGUGAUAUCAUAUUAUUUUGCUUGUUAACAGACUCUAGAACUUCUGCUAAAUUUACGAGACGUGCAACAGAAUGUUACAGCGUUCUUGAGCCACCACUGUUUUACAAAUUUGGCAUCUGCAGGCCUCAAAAGGCUGAAAUGUUUUAAAUUUAUUUACACCCUGCAGUUUCCUUAGGGAACUGUUUUCCAUAAGCUAAUGAGGCGCUGGUGCAAGGCCUCUCUGUUAUUCCUGGCAGGAACACUGAGACACAUCGGCCUGCUGCCCUGCUUUUUUCCUCAGUAGUCCAGUGCAAAUAAUAAAUAUGGGAAAAUACAUCAUCCCUUUGAAUGUGGGAGCCAAGCUGCAGGGCUGCCAAGGUUAAAACAAAGCAAUUGCGAGCUUGGAGUCUGUUCACGUCCUGUACCACAUGUGCCCGUGUUUUAGGGACACUCUGAACGUGGCCUUUAUCAUGUCAGAUUACUUAUUCUGAGAACAUAGGCAGUCUUUGGAAAUCUCCUCUAUAAAACAGGCCUUUCUGAAGAAGUGUCCUUCGAGUGGAUCCAACGCUGUACUGAAGUCAGGGAACUUGUCUUUUAGAUGAUGGGUCAAACAGAGAAUUUACCAGGCACCUCCAAGGUGCCCGGCCCUGUGUUGAUGGCAGUUUUGUGAAAAAAGAGAGGGCAGAGUGUGAAGCUUGAGUUCACGGUCAAGCUGAAGGGUGUUUCAUGUUUCAGGUCACUUCAGGGCUGCUCUUAUCAAGGGCAGGACACCUCGGAUGUCCCAAAGAUUUGCUGAGGAUUUGGACACGCCCUCAGCACAUAGUAGAUGCCCAGUGAACGAAUGGAUGAAUGGCAGUUGCUGCUCUGUUUCUGAUCUCCCCUGAAAGCAAUCUAGCCUGUAUUUAACAUGGGAAUUAAACUGGUAUAAAUAGCAAAGCCCAAGGAUUAAACAAAUGCGUUAAAUAGCCUCAGGGCUUUCCCAGCCUCCAGACUCAACUCUUAAUGCCUACAGCUAUUCCCACCUCCAGCUGUCCUCUGAUAUCGCCCCUGUCCAGCCUCACUCCAUAGGGGCAAUUAAAUUUUACUGAUUUAAUUGGACACGUUUUUCCCCCCUUCUCUUUUCUGCUUUGUUUUCUCAUCAUUCAGAGCUGGUUGAGGUCAACUUGCAUGUGUUUCUUGAGUUUGGGGAGGCAGUAAAGAGAAUUAAAAAAAAAAAUUCAUUUGGUGGCUCAUAAGAAAUCAAGGUCUUUCAGUAACUAGAUAUACUCCCAUUCUGGCUAUAGUUUUUAGGUAGUCUUGGAUCUAUGGGCAGAGGAUGAGCUUGAUGGUAUUGAAAGCCCCUUUUCAGUUCUGUCCUCCACGUCUGUGGGAUCCUGGCACACGUCAGAGCUGACCCUCAACAAGGAUGCAGAGGGGGUGAAGCUUGUUGUGUGCUGUGCACAUCCUUCCACCCAGCCUCCUCUUUCUCACUUGCGUGGCUUCCUGAUUGCUACCCCCAGCUGUGUCUGUAGCCUCGGAUUUGGCCUUAGGAUCGCUGUCCGUCCUUCGAGGUGUUACUGGAGAAACAGAAUGUUGGCUAAUAAAGGCUCAAGGAAUGGCUAACAGAAAAAUGUUGGAAGACAUACCCAGCAAAAGGGUGGGUAUGUGAGCUAAAGCCCAGAUUCAGAAUCAUUACAAAUUAAUCCAAAAACGUGCCGGAGGCCUUUGGCUAUAUUUAGGGCACCCAGGGGCCUAUUCUCAGCAAUAAGACAUCCCCUUGCACUCACUUCUCCAGUGCUUCUCUGAGCCCUCAGACCUGCUUGCUGAGACUUGCUUCCUUUUGCUGUGACUGGGGGUGGGAGUGGGGUGGGGACAACAGUCCUUUCUACUUAGAUGCUCCAGAUAAAGAGAUGGGCCUGGAGAGGAAGUCAGAAACUAGGCUGUGCCAUGAAUGACUUCUUUGGGUGCCUCUCAUAUGCUUCUGCUGUCAUUGCGUAUUUAAGGCAACUUCAGGACAGGUCUGUUUCCUCACCAUUUACAGGUAAAGAAACUGAAGUUCUGAUCAUUUAAGUAAAUUGUUUCAAGUAACAUAGGUUAUAGCGGCAGGGCCAAUAUGCCAAUUCAUUGCUCCCUACUGUACUGUGUACCUCAUUCAGUCCAUCAGCUCUGUCAGUGUUUGUGCAGUUAACUUAAUUCUUCACUGACCUCUGCAGUGCAGACCAUCUGGCCGUAUUCCCAGGGCCUCUUUUCCAACUGUAGGAAAAUCAGGAGGAUGCCUGUUGGUCAAGGCAGGGUGCCCUCCACUCAGACAGAACUCCUGGCCCUGCCCUCCCACCCUCUGGGCUCCUGCACACACUCUUCCCUCUGCCUGAAACCCCUUCCCUGCCCCGUCACUGGGAGAAUAUUAGUCUUCUGUAAAUCUGCUCCCAUAGGCCCCCAAGUUUGACUCUAGUAAGGAAGGUAUCCUUCACGUUGUACUAUCCUUAUUUAUACACACAUUGACCUCUUUAUCUAGAAUAUAAAGUCAUGCAUUUCAUGGAGAACUAAGGCCUCCUUGCCUGGCAUGAGACGUGCUCAAUAAAGGUUGAAUACAUGCAUGAUGUAGAGACAAAAUUCUCAUCACUCCUCUCUGUGUUUCAGGAUGACACACAGCUAAUUCUUACCUGAGCGCAGGAGAAAGUGGAGUCUGGUGGAUGUUAUGGUCUGCGUUAAGGCAGAGGCCACUGGGACCUGUCAGGGUAUGUUGCUGGUGAGGUUCUUCUGGAGUUUCAGCAGAGGGAGUGACGACAGACACUCCCGGCUCUGUCUCCCCAGGUAGCAAGCAGUUCCUUGAGGUUGAGGAGGUCUUUCUUCAGAUGGAAGCACCUUCUAGAGUGGUUCAAUCUACUGAUGUUUCAGUGAUGUUUACUUUACACGUAUUAGUUAUUACUAUUUUAGUAAUUUUCAAACCUUAGCUGCAAAUUGCUUUCAGCCUAUCCCAGGUGAUCGCUUUGCGGAAACUAGGACAGGGAAUGGGAUGGUGACUGACCUAAAGCGCUUAGAAAUCCUAGAGAGAAGGCACCGCUUUAGGGAGCCCUCUUCUCCCCAUGAUGAGCACCUGAUCAGGAGGCUGUGGGUUGGCCAGAGGCAGUAAUGAGGUCCUGAGGAGCAGUGAGGAGCAAGAAUAGAAAGGGAGGGAGGGGAGAGGAAGCCUGAGAACUGUGUUAUUACUCUCAUGGUGAAGACAAUCUUGCCAAGAAGGAUUCCCUCCCAGGGCCAAUGCCUGGGUCAGAGCGAGGCUUGUCAGAACAAUGACUGUGUUUGUCGUGAUGGGGAGCAGUUGCCUGAAGAGAAGGUCCUUGGCAGGGUGGAAAUGGCGCCUGGCACCUUGCAUGUCUCAGUGAACAUAAAAUAACCUAUAUUCAAAGAUGCUUCAAUUACCUGGCACAUAAAUCACUAGAAAUUUAAGUUACUAUAUAUAAUAUAUAUAUAUAUUGUCUUUUUAGGGCCACACUGUGGCGUAUGGAAGUUCCCAGGCUAGGGGUCAAAUCAUAGCUGCAGCUGAUGGCCUAUGCCACAGCCACAACAACGCCAGAUCUGAGCCAUAUCUGAAACCUGCACCACAGUUCAUGGCAAUGACGGACCCUUAACCCACUGAGCAAAGCCAGGGAUCAAACCUGCAUCCUCAUGGAUACUAGUUGGGUUCGUUACUACUGAGCCACAAGGUAAACUCCUUAUAUGUUUGGUAUAAUCUUCAAUAAGAAAAAGCAGCA